GACGUUUACAUGCGCACUGCGGCGUGGUGCAAUCUUUGAAUACUUUGAGUCUCAUCACAGAAGACAAUAUGACAUAGGACAGUUCCUGCCCUGAUCGUCUUCUCUGUGUGAUAUGAGGCAGCGAUGACAUGUCCUAUAAUCAGUCACCCAUACCGCCUGCCUGGGGCUAAAAGUCAGAAGGUUGAUGUAACUCCUCUGCCUAUUUUCCCCUUUGAAACUUCAAACUCCAGUUUGUGAACAAAGUCCUGUCUAUCUCCACAAUAAGGAUCUCCGACCACUGACCAAACUCCAUUUGUAACCACUGCCUAUUUGUACUUUCUCUCCAAUGACUCUUUUUCAUUUCACCUGUCUGACCAAAUGGGAAUAACAAGUAGCACUACAAAGGGAGAUGUAUAAUGCACAUGUUGCGGGAACCGGUGGCCUACAAGGAAUAACACGCUCUUGGAGUACUCGGGAAUGGUUUUCACGUGGGAAUAUGAGUGUUAUGCUUUCUUUGGGUUUGAAUAUUUGUUAAGAAUGGGAGAAGACGGCAUGAGUAUGUUUAGUAAAGCUCAUUCCAGGUCAGUAGAAAAGCCGCUGUGGAUUGACUGGGGUAGAUGGCACAGAUGUGAGUAUGGCGACAUAGUGAACACACAACAGAUUGUCAACAGAUCGGUUGGUAAACGGCAAGCUCACAACUCUCAUGCCCUUUGCGGGCAAAAUAUUAACUUUUGCUUAUUUGAAAUUAUACUUUUUUUUAUAUAAAAAUCUAUCUAUUUGUAGUUUUAAACUGUUGCGGUGUACUCUAAGACUGCUGAAAUGUAUCUUUAUCCUAAGUGUGUUGGGGCUGAUAAGUGUGGAUAACGCCCCUCCCCUCUGUCUAAACUUUUUUUUUUUUGUCUCAUAAGGCUAUGGUGCUUUUUGAAGGCCCAUCGAGUGUAAAUCGAUGGUCAAAUGCUAACUAUCCUUAGCAUUUAGCAUUUUUUUUUUCUUUGAAGGUUCAUAUUCAGUUUUAAUUAGCUGAUGAUAAUCAAACUAAGAAUUGAAAGUAUUUGCUAAUCAAGCUCUUGUCAGCACCAAGGAGCUGAGAAUCAUGUCAUGUGAUCUGUUGCUCUGAUAAAUGUUCAAACCUUGUUAAGUUUUUAAUACAUAACUCAGGUGCAAAUGAAGAGAAAUUACAAGGAAAACCUGUGAUUCCUGCCAAGAUGCAAUUCAUGAGGUUGUUAGUGGCUUUACGAUGGCCAGUUAAGACCUAAAGCCUUAUGAACAACCGGCAGAUUUUCAAAACAACUUGAAUUCACUUUUAUCUCCUUCGUUUAAAUGUUUACAUUUUCUGAUUUUAGUUCCACUGCAUUUAAACAAAAUUGAUACUGCCAGUUUUAUUUUAGUAUCAAGAUACACUUAUAGUUUUAUUAUUAUUUCCAACUUCAUUUAGAAGUGUGUUUAGUAAUUUAUAUACAGUUUGUAUAUAAUUUAUUUACAUUUUUAAUGGUUUUAGUUUCAGUUUUAGUUAAUUGUAUAAUGACCCUGGAUACGGUGUCAAGUACAUGUCUUUUUAGCAGUGUUUGAUUUGAAAAUAAAUACUUUAUAACUCAAAGCCAUUUUCUUAUGAGGAAAUACUCUCCUCCUCCGUAACGAUUAACAAAUACAGUUAUCUAUGGAGUUCCCAUAGUCCUCCUCAGCCAUCACGGUAUUUGUAGUGUAGGUAAUCAUAAACCCCUAGGACCUAAUAUCGCACAGCCUCCAUAAAGUCUUCCAGUUUAAAACUCAGAAUCAUUGGGUAAUAAUAUGUUUGACAAAAAAGGGACACAUUUAGCCAACCUUUGCUGUUACCUGCUUAUCACUUUCGAUGUCAUGCUUUACAUCAUAAACAUGAUAAAGCCACUGAUAGGAUUUUGUCCUGAUGGCUAGCCUGCUUGUUUAUCGAGUGAUCACAGCUUUAUGGGAUCACAUACUAUUUGACAACUUACGCUACUGAAAUGAUCAAGUUUCUUUGUUACUUUCAACACAUUACAAAAGCUCAAGUAACUCUGUGCACAUCACGCGAGUAAACAAGUGCAUCAAUAAACAUUCAGAGCAAUGCUCUUUGUAAAUCAAUCACAUCUUCUGAUAAGGCUCUUUCAAUGAUUAACUGUUUUUCUGCUGAGAAUCGCUUUGGCUGUUGACCCAAUCAUAUUUGCAGGCUGAGUGAUGCUGCAUGGACAGUUAUCACUCACUUUUUAUCAACAAUCAAUCAAUCAAUCACCUUUUCAUCACAGUGUACAGCUCUCGAGAACAUUUCACCCUAACAAGUUUAACUUUACCCCAGUUUAUCCAAACUGAAGAGUCUUAAGUGGUUAUUCAAUUUGUUAUAAUUUAACACACUGGGGCUUGGUGUACUUUUACUCAUCCGUGCUGUUUUGAAGUCAUUCUCUUGCAGUCUGAGUAUCACUAUAGUACAAAACAAAGUACAUAAUUGCAUAAUGAAUAUGUUUUUUUACAAGUGUGAUCAUUAUUUAACCGAUUUAACGACACAAUGGAAACUCAGCACAAGAAGAAUCUGGAAGCCUUUUUCCCCCCCAUGUUUUUCAUUAAUCUUGGAUGAUGGAUCAUUGGAUCGUUUCUUAUGUCAUUAUUCUAUUAGAGGUUUCAUGUUAAUAUUUUAGAUUAUAUCAGGAGUCACAUAUUAUGGGCAUAUAGAGUAGGUAACUGAGAACAUUUGAUUUAAAGUGUUUUGUAAAUAAAUAUAACAUUUUAGAAUUUGGCAAAAUGUAAAAUAAAUAAAUGUCAUAGUGUGAAAUUCUUUGGUCACUAAUCAAAUAAGUAAUCCCAUUACUGUUAUCUUAGUAUCAUUUAGAUACUAUUGUAGUUUUUAUUUUUAAUCCAUUUAUUUAGAAUUUUUAUAUUUUCUGUUUUCAUUUUUAUUUUAGCUCAACUUUUAGUAAUUUUAUUGUUUUGCCAAUUUUCAGUAGUUUUGUAUAAAUAUAUAUAUAAAAUUUUCUAUAUUUCAAUUACCAUUUUUUUUAAUGGUUUCAACAUUAGUUUUGUUUUUAGUUAACUAUGGUGACCUAGAUUUACAGAUAUUGACAUAGAAACAUUUAUAUAGUCUAUGUUGCAUCAACCUUGGAUUGUUUUUCCUAUGGUGAUAAAAUUACAUGUUUACAUGUUUAAAGAUAUUUUAAGAAUCACAUCUGAGAAUGUCCCAACAUUUUUAGUGUAUACAGUCAAGUAUACCAUUAAGCAGCUCCUUCAUGUGGACAAAGCUUGCAAUUACAUCUGCAAAGUUCUCAGUGUUGGGCCUUCCUGAGAAGAACCACAAGGACUUCACCAAUUGUCAACUGAAGUCCCCAAAAAUCUCAAAUCUGCAGUGAUUUUCAUAAGCACACCUCGACUGUCCUAAAAGAGGCAGUGAAUCUGCGGUCGCUCUACCUGGUGUGGUGUUGAAGUGGCCCGUGACAUGUCCUUCAAACAUCCUGCACUUGUCUGUGGUCCUGAGAGCUGGCAGGACCCCCGGCUCCUCAGCCUUCUCCAAACAAUGACCUAUCCAUUCAGUCCUCAGUGUAUCUCAGUGAGUGUGAGAGUGUGUGAGGGAGCCAGCGUUCUCACACACGCUGACCAGCAGCUCGACCUAAUCUCUUAAUGCCUGUCACAAUGAGAUUUGAUUGGGGGCUUGAGCGCACGGCCUUAUAGUGUCAAGUGUACAGAGCGUAUAAUUCAUAUCUGGCACUUCCUGUUCCCGAGGCCCAUGGAUUCUCCCUUAAUUGGAUAUGAAACAUUAACUUGUCAUUUUGAUGAGUGUGACACCAGUGUUUAGUCAGCGAACACGCUUCUGAAUUGAACAGUUUUCUGGUGCUGAGGAGAGAAUUGUACUUAGACAUCACUUACUGUUAGCUGUCUGGACAAUUGGCGGUGCCAAUCUGGUAGACACCAUUCAGAAGUAUGGGGUUGGGAAGAUUUUUAAAAUGUUUUUGAAAGAAGUCUAUUAUGCUCAGCCUGGAUGUUUUUAUUUGUAUUCCAGAAUACAGUAAGAGAGUAAAAUGGCGAAAUGUUGUUACAAUUUAAAAUAACAGAUGUCUGUUUCAGUGCACGAGAUCCUUCAGAUAUCAUACUAAUUUGCUGAUUUGCUGCUCAAGGAACAUCUCUUAUUAUCAGUGUUGUGAUGCUUAAUGAUAAAUGUUUCAGUAUUUAUUUGAUGUAGAUUUUUUUAUAACAUUAUGAAUGUCUUCAAUAUCACUUUUCAUCUAUUUAAUAUGCUCUUGCUUUAAAACAUUUUUUUUUUCAUUUUUAAAAACAUUUUUAGUAACGUCAAACUUUUGAACAGAAAUAUAUUUAACGCCUACUUUCCACCAUCCAGUCUAUUUCCAAUUUAUACAUAUUCGAUCUUUUAGUCAUGUAUAUCCUGUUAACUAGGAAAGAUUAUGUUUUUAUGCAUUGUGUGAUAGUACAGAGGAUGUAUAGAUCAUGUACAUUGGUUGUAAACAGUGUGUAUUCUUUGUUGCUGAUGCAUAUCUAUUAUUAUCAUCAAGAUUUAAAUAAAUGUAAAAGGAAGUAUCAA